ACCUCUUAUAAUUUGUGAAGUUUACCUUCACAUAAAAACGCUAUAAUUCAACUAAAUUAACCGAGUGACAAUGUUCAAAUUUUAACGUAUUAAUUUAUUCAAAAUUAAAGCAACCAUACAAAUGUAUUUUAAACUAAGAAAAAGUCGAUGUGGUGAUUGUUUUAAGCCGAUAACGCAUCGACUCGCUAAUUUUGAUAAGAAUGAAGAACACGAGUGCUACGUCGAGAACUAUGUAAAAUGCUUUUGGAGUCUUUGUGACCAACAUCAAAGUAACCACCAAUUUAUUCCUAAAACUAACCUUCAAGUUGUUACCGAACAGCCAAUGCCACGUGGUUCUUGAGAAGCACUGCAUGAUAACAAAGCCUGGCUUCCUUUGACAUAACAAGUAUAUCACCACUAUUAAGAAGAAUAGCAGAUGGUUCAUAUGAUUUCUCCUGGCCACCUAUCAAAAAUAUUGCAGACUGACCAAAACUGUAAAAAUAACAAAAUCA